GACGAACGCUGGCGGCGUGCUUAACACAUGCAAGUCGAACGGAAAGGCCCUGCUUUUGUGGGGUGCUCGAGUGGCGAACGGGUGAGUAACACGUGAGUAACCUGCCCUUGACUUUGGGAUAACUUCAGGAAACUGGGGCUAAUACCGGAUAGGAGCUCCUGCUGCAUGGUGGGGGUUGGAAAGUUUCGGCGGUUGGGGAUGGACUCGCGGCUUAUCAGCUUGUUGGUGGGGUAGUGGCUUACCAAGGGUUUGACGGGUAGCCGGCCUGAGAGGGUGACCGGCCACAUUGGGACUGAGAUACGGCCCAGACUCCUACGGGAGGCAGCAGUGGGGAAUAUUGCACAAUGGGCGGAAGCCUGAUGCAGCAGCGCCGCGUGCGGGAUGACGGCCUUCGGGUUGUAAACCGCUUUCGCCUGUGACGAAGCGUGAGUGACGGUAAUGGGUAAAGAAGCACCGGCUAACUACGUG
rnacentral:rRNA from 1 species